ACUCAAAGGAAUAGACGGGGGCCCGCACAAGCAGUGGAUUAUGUGGUUUAAUUCGAAGCAACGCGAAGAACCUUACCAGGGCUUGACAUCCAGCUGAGGCGGCAGAGACGCCGCCGUGCCCCUCGGGGAAAGCUGAGACAGGUGGUGCAUGGUUGUCGUCAGCUCGUGUCGUGAGAUGUUGGGUUAAGUCCCGCAACGAGCGCAACCCCUAUUGUUAGUUGCUACGCGAGAGCACUCUAGCGAGACUGCCGUUGACAAAACGGAGGAAGGCGGGGACGACGUCAAAUCAUCAUGCCCCUUAUGUCCUGGGCUACACACGUAAUACAAUGGCGCCGAACAGAGGGAAGCGAGGCCGCGAGGCGGAGCAAAUCCCCAAAAGGCGCCCCAGUUCGGAUCGCAGGCUGCAACCCGCCUGCGUGAAGCCGGAAUUGCUAGUAAUCGCGGAUCAGCAAGCCGCGGUGAAUACGUUCCCGGGCCUUGUACACACCGCCCGU
rnacentral:rRNA from 1 species